CGACCCGCCCCAGCUUCGUAUGGGUGCAAUGGUGAUAUAUUAUGCAUGUAUUAUACAUAUAAACCUUCCUCUUGAAUAACUCUAUUAAAAAAACCGCAUCAAGAACCGUUGCGUAGUUUUAAGGAUUUAAGCAUACAAAGGGAAAUAGGGACAGAGAAAGCUACUUUGUUUUAUACUAUGUAGUGAAACAACGCAACGUCACGCCUUUUAUCCCCAAAGGGGUAAGCAGAGAUGCUCAAAACGACACGUAAUGCCGCUAUACAAUAUACACCCACUUUUCACCACUUGUGUUAUAAGUCCUAUGUAAUAGGGGUGAGCCUAUUGCCAUAUACUGGACACAAUUCCAGACUCCGUACUGAGAAAUUUUCGGAAAACCGAAAAAAGCCCAGUAAUACUUUGCCCGACAGGCAAAAUUUUGGCAGUACUCGACCACUCGACCAACGAGGCAGUGUUGGGAAACAGACAAACUUUAUGUCACUUUUAUAUUAUUACUUAUGUGCAUGCAUACGUGUAGGUCCAUCAUAUAAGAAGAAGCGAUAUUAUUAGUGAGUCAUUAGUGUUGGUUGCCACUAAGCCCGACCAGCAUGAAGCUACUAGUAUCAUUUACUUGUAUUUUGUUAAUUUUAUCCUGCAAUGGAUACCCAAGUGUGGUUGUGAAUGUAGAAAAAGUUGAAAUUGUUGAAGUGCCUCCUGAUUCUAAUAUGGCACCUAUGUCUACAUUUAACGCUAAUGAUUGUCCGGAGCCAAAAGUGAGGAUAGAAUCGCAGUGUGUUUCGCCAGAUUAAUCAAAUAUAAAUAAAUUUCAAGAUGUAUUUGACCGUCAAAAAUUAGUGGUGACUAAAGUGUGUGAUUUCUUUUUGUUUUGAAAUCUAUUUUAUUUGUACCCGUUUAAUUGUUUUACAUACGGUACCGUGAAUGUUGUGUACAUCUGUUAGAGAUAUACAAACAAGAUAUCUGCUCGAUUCUAAUUGUGUCAAAAUGUGUUUGCUAUGUUGCCGUACCCUAACCGGGUUUCAUGUUGAGACAAAUGUGCUUAAUUCUGUAAUAUCUAAAUGUACACAUGAAUGCAAUAAAUAAUUUGAGUUUGAGUAUGAGUUUGAAUCUCAGUUAUAAAAUUUAAUAAAAUGCAUUUGCAAUACCCGAAUAACGACCGGAGUGAUACCACGGCCUCACAGAAAACCGACGUGAAACAACACUAGCGUUGUAUUUCGUUGUGUGAUUGAGGUUACCGGAGGCCCGAUUCAAUCUUCCCAAUUUUUCAACCCCGAUUCCACAACAAUCCUUAAAUUCAUAAACUUCAAAGGCCGGCAACGCACUUGUAACGCUUAUUAAUAAGUUAUGUUUAAACAUCUUCAUUCUCAAUACAUUUAAAAUUGACCAAACUAGACAGUGUUUUAGGCAAAAGCGAACAAAGACAUAAUUAUAUACCAGUGAGAUUAUGGCAGAUUAUAAUUUACGAGUAUUAGUCAACGGACUUUGCUCAUAAUAUAAGAAUGAAACAAGUCGUUGAACCAUCAGUAAAGGUUGGAUCAAACAGCGCACAACAUGAAGUUAUCAGUGAUUUAUAUUUUUGUUCUGUUAGUGUUGACUUGUAAUGCUUAUCCGAGUGAGACUAGGACAGAGAAGGAGAGUGUUACUGAAGAAAAUAAUCUUUAUUGGGACGGUCUCACCCUAGACGCCAGUCAGUGUCCAGGAAACAGUGUUCGAUUUGGUUCGCAGUGUGUUUCGCCCGAGUGAAAUAAAUAAAUUGUUUCAGACUUGUUGUGUUUAUUUCGUCUAUACUAAACUGAUGUACUACUACUACAUGGUCCAGAGCUGUGGACUACUUACGGCGCAUUCCAAUAACCUACCGAUCGGUAGAUUUGCCUACCAGCGGUAGAAUUUUGACACAUUUUGUAUGGAGCUUAUGUCAAAAUUCUACCGCUGGUAGGCGAAUCUACCGAUCGGUAGGUUAUUGGAAUGCACCGUUAGCGGGUUUAUCGGGGCUCCAGCUAGGAAAGCAGGCGUAGGCAUGCCCCAUGCCAAUUAACGUGUUAACCACCACAUUCGAGAUAGUUUGGUGAUUUUAGACUCCAUAACUUAAAGAGCCUAAAAAUUUUUCGUUUAACAAAACACGCUUCUAAGAACAUUGUAGUCACGAAAUUAUUCUAUAUGUAUAAAAAUACAAGAAAAAUCAUUAAUCUGACUUCUGUCAUGUCAAAGGUAGAGAAAAGCCAAGUCCAAUAAGUAAACAUUUUAGAGCAAAAUAAAAUUGUUUUAAUCAACAAUAAAAAAUACAGAUUUAAUAGAAAUGAUGACGGGGUAUGAACAUUAAUAAUCUAUUUAGUCCGUCAGUUAGGUAACGAAAAUAUAUUAGAAACGUAUUUUUUUAUUUUGUCUUAUAAGAUAACAAUACAUAGAUAAAACGAAUAAAAAAUUAGGAGUGUGAGAAAAUAAUUACGUCAUUUUUACGUAUAAAAUGUCCCCGAAGUGACACCACGCGAUAUUUUAAAUCGAUAUGUCAGACGAUAAAUCGAUCUUCGGAAGUAUUAACUUCCGCAAUAUAAAAAAAUACGUAUCUAAGAUUACAUUAAAAUAAUCUACAAGACGGGCAUUAACAUAAAAAUUAUUCAUCUAAUCUAUUAUUAAGACACCAAAUACAUAGCUUAGACGCAAAGUAAAACAAGCAUGAAGGUCAACAUACAUAGAGUUUUUACUAUAAAUUCAAGUAUGUACAUAAAUAUGACGUACCUUUGUGGCAAUAAGUGCCUACACCAAUCAUAUAAGAAGCCGCAAUUUUAUUGAAUCAUUAUUGUUGAUUGCAAUCUUGGACCGAUCAACAUGAGGCUACAAUUGUUACUUAUUUGUAUUUAUUUAACUUUAUCUUGCAAUGGUCGUCCAAGCGUAGAAGUGAAAAUAGAAAAAUUAGAAGUAUUUGAAGUGUUUCCUGAUUCUGAUACAAUCGGUUUUGGUGGUUCUAGUUUCAAUGCUAAUGACUGUCCUGAGCCAAAAGUAAGAUUAAACUCACAAUGUGUGUUACCAGAAUAAGUUAUACAUAUCUUCAUUAUCAUUAUAAAGUUGUGUGAAAUAGACUCAGUGUUAAAAGCAAAGAAACAAAGCCAUACUAGUGUGGAUAUACAUAGAAGAUUUAAUUAAGUGUGGGAGAGCCAUGCUUCGGCACGAAUGGGCCGGCUCGACCGGAGUGAUACCACGGCCUUACAGAAAACCGACGUGAAACAACUCUUGCGUUGUGUGAGUGAGGUUACUGGAGGCCCAAUUACCCCCCCUUCCCAAUCUUCCCAAUCCCCGAUUCCCCUACCUAAUUUCCUGACCUCCAAAAGGCCGGUAACGCACUUAUAACGCCUAUGGUGUUUCAAGUGUCAAUGGGCGGCGUCGAUUGCUUACCAUCAGGUGAUCCAUCAACUCGUUUACCGGCUUAUUACAUAAAAAAAGAUCAUUGAACUUUGCUCAUUAUAUAAAAAGGGUACAAAAUUAUUGUUACAUCAGUAAAGGUUGGAUCAAACAGCGCACAACAUGAAGUUGUUAGUGAUUUAUAUUUGUGUUCUGUUAGUGUUGACUUGUAAUGCUUAUCCGAGUGAGACAAGGACAGAGGAGAGUGAUACUGAGGAAUUUCCACUGAAUCAAACCUUUGAUGGAAGCGGGUGUCCAGGGGAUACUGUAAGAGUAGGUACACUAUGCGUUGAGCCACAUUGAAAUAUUAAUUCUCAAGUAGACAAUGUCAAUUACAACGCUAGCCUAUGUUUAUAAAAUAGUGUUAGUGUUAAGAAUUAGAGUUGCUUUAAAGAGUGUGUUAUGAGCGAUUGAAUUGUCUUAAAAUGAAAUAAAUUAAUUUUCUAUUGC